UACGAAGGGGGCUAGCGUUGCUCGGAAUCACUGGGCGUAAAAGCGCACGUAGGCGGACUCUUAAGUCGGUGGUGAAAUCCUGGAGCUCAACUCCAGAACUGCCUUUGAUACUGAGGAUCUUGAGUUCGGGAGAGGUGAGUGGAACUGCGAGUGUAGAGGUGAAAUUCGUAGAUAUUCGCAAGAACACCAGUGGCGAAGGCGGCUCACUGGCCCGAUACUGACGCUGAGGCACGAAAGCGUGGGGAGCAAACAGGG
rnacentral:rRNA from 1 species